rnacentral:rRNA from 1 species
UCCUACGGGAGGCAGCAGUGGGGAAUCUUAGACAAUGGGGGAAACCCUGAUCUAGCCAUGCCGCGUGAGUGAUGAAGGCCUUAGGGUUGUAAAGCUCUUUCAGUGGGGAAGAUAAUGACGGUACCCACAGAAGAAGCCCCGGCUAACUCCGUGCCAGCAGCCGCGGUAAUACRGAGGGGGCUAGCGUUAUUCGGAAUUACUGGGCGUAAAGCGCACGUAGGCGGAUUGGAAAGUUGGGGGUGAAAUCCCAGGGCUCAACCCUGGAACUGCCUUCAAAACUCCCAGUCUUGAGGUCGAGAGAGGUGAGUGGAAUUCCGAGUGUAGAGGUGAAAUUCGUAGAUAUUCGGAGGAACACCAGUGGCGAAGGCGGCUCACUGGCUCGAUACUGACGCUGAGGUGCGAAAGCGUGGGGAGCAAACRGGAUUAGAUACCCUGGUAGUCCACGCCGUAAACGAUGAAUGCCAGUCGUCGGGCAGCAUGCUGUUCGGUGACACACCUAACGGAUUAAGCAUUCCGCCUGGGGAGUACGGCCGCAAGGUUAAAACUCAAAGGAAUUGACG